rnacentral:rRNA from 1 species
UAGGGAAUCUUCCACAAUGGACGCAAGUCUGAUGGAGCAACGCCGCGUGAGUGAAGAAGGUUUUCGGAUCGUAAAGCUCUGUUGUUGGUGAAGAAGGAUAGAGGUAGUAACUGGCCUUUAUUUGACGGUAAUCAACCAGAAAGUCACGGCUAACUACGUGCCAGCAGCCGCGGUAAUACGUAGGUGGCAAGCGUUGUCCGGAUUUAUUGGGCGUAAAGCGAGCGCAGGCGGAAGAAUAAGUCUGAUGUGAAAGCCCUCGGCUUAACCGAGGAACUGCAUCGGAAACUGUUUUUCUUGAGUGCAGAAGAGGAGAGUGGAAUUCCAUGUGUAGCGGUGGAAUGCGUAGAUAUAUGGAAGAACACCAGUGGCUAAGGCGACUCUCUGGUCUGCAACUGACGCUGAGGCUCAAAAGCAUGGGUAGCGAACAGG